CCUGCCAGUCGUGAUAUGCUUGUCUCAAAGAUUAAGCCAUGCAUGUGUAGGUAUAACCGAUUAUACCGGUAAACUGCGAAUGGCUCGGUAAAUCAGUUAUAGUUUAUUUGAUAGUGCCCACUACUCGGAUAACCGUAGUAACGCUAGAGCUAAUACGUGCGUAAAUCCCGACUCUAGGAAGGGACGUAUUUAUUAGAUAAAAGGCUGACCGGGUUUCCCGAUCUGCGUUGAAUCAUGGUAACUUCACGGAUUGCAUGGCCUUCGUGCCGGCGACGUGUCAUUCAAGUUUCUGCCCCAUCAUGGUUUCGACUGUAAUGUAUUGGAUUACAGUGCCGAUAACGGGUAGCGGAGGAUUAGGGUUCGAUUCCGGAGAGGGCGCCUGAGAAAUGGCGACCACAUCCAAGGAAGGCAGCAGGCGCGCAAAUUACCCAAUCCCAACUCAGGGAGGUAGUGACAAGAAAUAACAAUGCGGAGCCAACGGUUCUGCAAUUGAAAUGAGUACAAUUUAAACCACUUAACGAGUACCUAUUGGAGGGCAAGUCUGGUGCCAGCAGCCGCGGUAAUUCCAGCUCCAAUAGCGUAUAUGUAAGUUGUUGCGAUUAAAAAGCCCGUAGCUGAACCUCGGGUAGGCCGGACGGUCCGCCUUUUGGUGUGUACUGUCUUGGCCUGCCUUUCUGCUGGGGACCGUAUCCUUUGCAUUUACUUGCCGGGAACGGGACCUAGCAAGGUUACUUUGAGUAAAAUAGAGUGUUCAAAGCAAGCAAUCGCUCUGAAUACACUAGCAUGGGAUAACACGACAUGACCGAUGGUCUAUCUUGUUGGCCUGUAGACCCGUUGGUAAUGGCUAAUAGGGACGGUCGGGGGCAUUCGUAUUUCGCUGUCAGAGGUGAAAUUCUUGGAUUUGCGAAAGACGAACUACUGCGAAAGCAUUUGUCAAGGACGCUUUCAUUAGUCAAGGACGAAAGUCGGGGGAUCGAAGACGAUUAGAUACCGUCGUAGUCUCGACCAUAAACGAUGCCAAUUAGGGAUCGGAGGGCGGUUUAUUUAUGCCUCCUCCGGCACCUUCCGCGAAAGCAAAAUGUAUGGGCUUCGGGGGGAGUAUGGUCGCAAGGCUGAAACUUAAGGAAUUGACGG
rnacentral:rRNA from 1 species